rnacentral:rRNA from 1 species
GUGCCAGCAGCCGCGGUAAGACGAACCGUGCGAACGUUGUUCGGAUUCACUGGGCUUAAAGGGCGCGUAGGCGGGCUGCCAAGUCAUGGGUGAAAUCUUUCGGCUCAACCGGAAAAGUGCCUAUGAUACUGGCGGUCUUGAGGGAGGUAGGGGCAUGUGGAACUUCCGGUGGAGCGGUGAAAUGCGUAGAUAUCGGAAGGAACGCCGGUGGCGAAAGCGAGGUGCUGGAUCUCUUCUGACGCUGAGGCGCGAAAGCUAGGGGAGCGAACGGGAUUAGAUACCCCAGUAGUCC